ACGCUAGCUACAGGCUUAACACAUGCAAGUCGAGGGGAAACGGCAUUAAGUGCUCGCACUUUUUGGACGUCGACCGGCGCACGGGUGAGUAACGCGUAUCCAACCUUCCCAUGACUAAGGGAUAACCUGCCGAAAGGCAGACUAAUACCUUAUGGUCUUCACUGACGGCAUCAGAUGUGAAGUAAAGAUUUAUCGGUUAUGGAUGGGGAUGCGUCUGAUUAGCUUGUUGGCGGGGUAACGGCCCACCAAGGCAACGAUCAGUAGGGGUUCUGAGAGGAAGGUCCCCCACAUUGGAACUGAGACACGGUCCAAACUCCUACGGGAGGCAGCAGUGAGGAAUAUUGGUCAAUGGGCGAGAGCCUGAACCAGCCAAGUAGCGUGCAGGAUGACGGCCCUAUGGGUUGUAAACUGCUUUUGUAUGGGGAUAAAGUCAAUCACGUGUGAUUGUUUGCAGGUACCAUACGAAUAAGGACCGGCUAAUUCCGUGCCAGCAGCCGCGGUAAUACGGAAGGUCCGGGCGUUAUCCGGAUUUAUUGGGUUUAAAGGGAGCGUAGGCUGGAGAUUAAGUGUGUUGUGAAAUGUAGACGCUCAACGUCUGACUUGCAGCGCAUACUGGUUUCCUUGAGUACGCACAACGUUGGCGGAAUUCGUCGUGUAGCGGUGAAAUGCUUAGAUAUGACGAAGAACUCCGAUUGCGAAGGCAGCUGACGGGAGCGCAACUGACGCUGAAGCUCGAAGGUGCGGGUAUCGAACAGGAUUAGAUACCCUGGUAGUCCGCACAGUAAACGAUGGAUGCCCGCUGUUGGUACCUGGUAUCAGCGGCUAAGCGAAAGCAUUAAGCAUCCCACCUGGGGAGUACGCCGGCAACGGUGAAACUCAAAGGAAUUGACGGGGGCCCGCACAAGCGGAGG
rnacentral:rRNA from 1 species